rnacentral:rRNA from 1 species
GGGGACUCGCAGGAGACUGCCGGGGUCCAACUCGGAGGGAAGGUGGGGACGACGUCAAAGUCAUCAUGCCCCCUUUAUGGCCAGGUCUUUUCCACACAAUGCUACAUGGCCGGUACAGAGGGCUGCGGCAUACGUUAGUUGGAGCGAAUCCUUUAAAGCCGGUCUCAGUUCGGAUCGGGGUCUGCAACUCGACCCCGUGAAGUCGGAGUCGCUAGUAAUCGCAGAUCAGCAACGCUGCGGUGAAAUACGUUUCCCGGGCCUUGUACACACCGCCCCGUCACGUCAUGAAAGUCGGUAACACCCGAAGCCGGUGGCCUAACCCUUGUGGAGGGAGCCGUCGAAGGUGGGAUCGGCGAUUGGGACGAAGUCGUAACAAGGUAGCCGUACCGGAAGGUGCGGCUGGAUCACCUCCUUUCUAA